GUGCUCUCUUCAGCAGCACAUAUACUAAAAUUGGAACAAUACAGAGAUUAGCAUGGCCCCUGUGCAAAGAUGACAUGCAAAUUUGUGCAGCGUUCCAUAUUUUU
ensembl:snRNA U6 U6 spliceosomal RNA